rnacentral:rRNA from 1 species
AGCUUUUUGGAGCAAGGGCGAAGAGAGGUUCAAGCGACAAAGGGCAGACGGGGGAUGCCUUGGCAGCAAUAGGCGAUGAAGGACGCGGCGAGCUGCGAAAAGCUCCGGGGAGUCGCUCACAGGCGUUGAUCCGGAGGAAUCCGAAUGGGGGAACCCCCGCUGGGGUAAAGCCCAGCGAGCCUUGCCUGAAUCCAUAGGGCAAGGCACACAGGGGAUA